rnacentral:misc_RNA from 1 species
UUAAGUUCAGCGGGUAUCCCUACCUGAUCCGAGGUCAACCUUGAGAAGUUGGGGUUAUGGCAAGUAACCGAAGGACUCUGUAGCGAGAAAAAUUACUACGCUGAGAGCCUAACGGCACCGCCACUGUGUUUAGAGGCCGCUGGAAAGCGUACCCCAAUACCAAGCCAGGCUUGAUUGGUCAAAUGACGCUCGAACAGGCA